rnacentral:rRNA from 1 species
AUUGAAUGCUGGCGGAAGGCCUAACACAUGCAAGUCGAACGAGUGGCGGACGGGUGCGUAAUGUCUGGGAAACUGCCCGAGGGAGGGGGAUACCUCCUGGAAACGGUAGCUAAUACCGCAUACAAUCGGAUGUGCCCAGAUGGGCUUAGCUAGUAGGUGGGGUAACGGCUCACCUAGGCGACGAUCCAUACCUGUUCUGAGAGGAUGACCAGCCACACUGGAACUGAGACACGGUCCAGACUCCUACGGUAGGCAGCAGUGGGGAAGAUUGCACAAUGGGCGCAAGCCUGAUGCAGCCAUGCCGCGUGUAUGAAGAAGGCCUUCGGGUUGUAAAGUACUUUCAGCGAGGAGGCGUUACUCGCAGAAGAAGCACCGGCUAACUCCGUGCCAGCAGCCGCGGUAAUUC